UUAAAGCUGCUUCAGUUUUGCACGAUGACCCACCCGAUGUCCACCCCUCCUACUCUUACUCUUAAAAACAACAUGUAAUUCCAGAGCUAAACUAUUACACAAGCAGUAACUCCACCAGAGCAUCACUUGCCUUGGACACUGGCCACCAUGAAUCGUCAAAAUAUACUAGUUUUAGUGCUACUGGUAUUUCUGUGUGUUUCCUGGGAGAUGAAGGAGGCUUCAGCCGCAUCGUUCCCGUGGAGCUGCAACAACUUCAGCGGAGUCUGCCGCCCAAUGUGCCUGCCGUCGGAAAUGCACUUUGGACCUUUCGGCUGUGGAAAAGGAUUUCUAUGCUGUGUGUCUCACUUUUGAUGAAAGCUAAGAACUCCUUGACCCAAAUGUACCGACUCAUCAUAUGGGCAUCACCAUGUGAUUUCAAUUCUAAUCAAUAUGUAAUACAUUUACAUUUGUGUUAAUUUAAAUGGUAAUAUUAAAUAUUGUGUGUACUUAUGAUUGGUCUUAGUAGCCUAUUCCAUUACUUUAGCUGUAGGUCCACUGUAGCUGUAGUUAAGCAAAGUCUUAAAUGUUUUGUCUUGUGUAACACAUGAUAUUCUGAAAAAAAAUUCAAGCCAAUCAAUAUGCUGUAUGAGUUGUUUUUACCAUUUUUGCAUAAUCAGUAUAUAUAUUGUUCUUCUUAAAAAUGUGUAUCAUUUGAACAAAGUAAUAAAACAAUGAAUGAUU